GUGGGGAAUAUUGGACAAUGGGCGAAAGCCUGAUCCAGCCAUGCCGCGUGUGUGAAGAAGGUCUUCGGAUUGUAAAGCACUUUAAGUUGGGAGGAAGGGCAGUAAGUUAAUACCUUGCUGUUUUGACGUUACCGACAGAAUAAGCACCGGCUAACUUCGUGCCAGCAGCCGCGGUAAUACGAAGGGUGCAAGCGUUAAUCGGAAUUACUGGGCGUAAAGCGCGCGUAGGUGGUUUUGUAAGUUGGAAGUGAAAUCCCCGGGCUCAACCUGGGAACUGCUUUCAAAACUGCUGAGCUAGAGUACGGUAGAGGGUGGUGGAAUUUCCUGUGUAGCGGUGAAAUGCGUAGAUAUAGGAAGGAACACCAGUGGCGAAGGCGACCACCUGGACUGAUACUGACACUGAGGUGCGAAAGCGUGGGGAGCAAACAGGAUUAGAAACCCUUGUAGUCC
rnacentral:rRNA from 1 species